AAUUAACAAACAAAAAAAAAUUAUUUAUUUUUCAUACAAGAAGCUUCUCUUUUUUUAAGGAAAAAGACAAAAUAAUGGUAUUCAUAACUUUUCCCUUUUAUAUUAUUAUUACACCCUGAAAAACAGAAAAACAAGAACAGAAAGAGGUUCACUCUUCGCUUUCCCGCAAAAACUGGCCCAAUCUCUGUUGUGAAGGUGAAGAUCGCAGAAUCUCCCGCCGAGACCUUCACAUCUUCGUCUUAGAUGGAACAGGUUCGCGAUUCAUACACUAAUUUAAUUCCUUCCUCAUUUGAAUUAGGUUUAGAUUUCUACGUGUUAUAUACAUUGAGAUUUAUUAUGCCUAAAUUAGGAUUUCUAUAAAUUCAUUAAAUAAAUAUGAAAUCGGUUAUUUCUUUUGGUUCCACUCGUCAAAUUGCUAUAAAUCCUGGGAUUUUCAGGUUGUUUGUAACGUUUUUGUUUUCCGUCCCGAUUGUGAUUGUGAUUCAAAGUUUAUUUGGUUUCGAUAAUCAGAUUUUUUCAGUUUUACUCUGAAAUUUGUGAAACAUAAUUUCAUUAUUGCUACUUAGGGUUGUGUUUGAAUGUACGGAUUUCAUGCACUGGUUAAUUAUAAGUCCAAAUUAGUGGAGGCAUCUUUUAUAUUUCAUGAGAAUGAAGUUGACUUUAAUUGAUUAAUUUAUUAUCUUGUAACAUUGCUUCAGUUUAGGCUUGAGGGGGAUGAGGAGACAUAAGUCACAUAAAAGAUGAUCUAUUAUCUGUUUUACUAUCAUAGGUGCUUUAUUUGAUUCGUUUAUUGACCUUGUGAAAAGAAUCAACUAAUACUAGGCAUAUUGAAGCUGUAUGCGUUGCUUAUCAAAUUUCUUUUUGGGUUUAUGAAUCUGUAUGAUCUAUAUCUAUAUAUAUAUGUAUGAAUUGUGUUUUAAUUAUAUAUACUAAUUAAUACCGUACAUGUAUUGGUCCUCUAGACUGAAUAUUUGGGCAACGUGGAUCAAAUGGAGUCCAAUACUUAGGAAGAGUGAGAGAAUGUAAUUCAUGUCUACGAAAAUAAUGUGGGUUGGACAGCGUUUGAAGAUGUUAAUCUAGAGUGACAUGUGUGAUCAGGAAAUUGCUUCAAUUUCUUAAACUCAGAUUUUGAAAGAGAAAUUAAAAAUAACUUUUUAUAUUUUUUUAGGAUAAAAUAGAAUAAUAAUAAAAUUAAGAAUUGUUUUUUCCUUAAAGUGAAAAUUGUGUUUUUAUUCGUUCCUUUGACACAAAAAAUAAUCAAUCACAUAAAUAAGUUAAAGCAAGAAAAUAAAACAAUUAAACAUUCUAAAACUCAUUAGUUAUAUAUUCAUAUCCAUCAGGAAUAUUUUCUCCUACUAAAACCACAGCAUAAAUCAUUCACCUCUUCCGGAGAAGGCAAAGUUGGGCUUGGGAGGGCUUAUCUAAGUACGUGGGUGGUCACUGGUAAUUAUAUAGGCGGAAAGAGGGAUAGCUAGAAUUGUGUAGACAAUGUUCUGGAAAGAUAAUUCUGUGUUAUAGAUUUUUUAUUUUUUUUGGCUUAAAGGACCAAACAAGAACAUUAGUUUUUUUUAAUAUAUAUAUAUAUAUAUAUAUAUAUAAUUAUUAUUAUUAGACACGAGAAAAAAUAUAUUUCAACUAAUAUAGUUAUAUCAUUUAUUUUAAAAACACAAUUCAUCAAAAUCUCAACACUUGACAAAGAGUUUUAAUUUUAACAUAAGUAAAUCUUAUUUUCCUUUUUACUCUCUUUGAGAAUUGAUUCGCCACCACCAUUUUCUUCUUUUCUAAUUAAAUGGACAAGUCUACUUAGAUAAUAAUAAUACUGCCUUAAAUACACAAACCUCGUUACGCAGCAUCAACUUCAUUGAACCCAUACUUGGCUAUCCCACCUUAAAUACAACCAUAAAUUAUUAGGUUGUGCUGGCUUUCACAAACUUCUCAUACUUUCCUUCCCUCUACUUUUUUUUUUUUAAAGUUCAUGUAUUAUAUCACUACUAGGAAGAAUACAAGUUAUUGUAGAAACUACUGGAAGAAAAAAGAAACCCAAAGGAAAAAAGAAAAAGAAUGAAUUAUCACCCAAAAGAAAAUUUAGCCAUAUCUGUUUUCAGUUUGAUAGCCCCCAUUACACAAUUAGUGUUGCGGGCAUGAUUACCCACACAAAUCACUCCCUUGUAAAUAAUCUUUGUCAAAUAAGUAUAUCACGAAUAAGGUUUCACCUGUAGUAGACUGUCUUCUCCUGCGAUCUGGAAAAAGAACUGCCUUACCCUGCAAAAUAGUAUAUUAAUGUUUGAAUAGUCUCUCUGGCAGGCAGGCAGGCAGUAGCUCGCACCAUGCAAAAUCCAAUGUCUGCCCAGUAGGUGGUGAAGUCCAAUUCCAAUUCAAAAUUUUCUGGCGGUUCAACUUAUCAUGCAGCCUCAAGGGAUCAAUAUGAGGGUGGAAAAGCAGCUAAAGAUCACUUCCAAGCAUUUUAAAGUCUUUUUCAUACCUACCAUCACCUUAAUUAGACAAAUACUUGUGCACCCGUAAGGGAAAAACUUUCCGAGUUCCAUAAUUAGAGUUGAUAGCAAAAUCUUCUUUUCCUAAAUUUUCCCACUCUAGCUACCAUUCAUGGUUAUAAUGUUAUAUUUAGGUUAAUUGAUCUAACUAAAGCAAUCAACAGCAUAAAGCAAAACCAUAUUUGUGAAGCUCAUGAUAUGUCAAAGUGCAGGACAUGGCAAGAGUGCUUAGGUUAGCUGAAAGAUAAGAAAAUAGGGAAAAUUGAAUCCUGUGAUUAUUAGAAGUCAAUCCAUGGGUGCAACCACCAAAAGUUUGAGAUUUAUAAGUUACCUCACAGUUGAGAAAAAACCGUGAUCUCUACCAGCAGCAAGGUUACUCAUGCACAUAAACUGAUUCCUUCUUCUUUUUAACUAAUUGAGAUUAAGGUCCCACAAGUACCCCAAAGAGAAUGGGUAAAAAAACUCCAGGAAUAAUAUUUCAGUGAGUAUGAUUAAAAAAUAACCUAAAAUAGACCACAUAACAGAAUUACAACAAUGAAGUUAUACCUACCUCAUCACUUUGUCCUCUAGUUAAAUUUUGAUGAUAGGGAGAUUAAUCUCAACAAAGCUGUGGGAACAAAAAAGAAUUUCACCCAUGAAGAAAAUAAUUUUAAACUCCAAAAGCACACAUCCAUUAAACAUAGUAAAUUAUAAAAAUGUCUACCUCUUCUGACUUCAAAAUUCAGACAUUUAUCUACACAAUUCAG
rnacentral:lncRNA from 1 species